UAUAGGUGAUUUAUAUGAGAAUGCAACAACAACAGAAAUGAAAGAUAGACUGGCAAAACGAAAUAAGAAUGAGGAAACCAUUUAUGAAAACCCAGAGCCGUCAAAACCAUCUGAAGAAAAGAAUGUGAACAAGGAUGGACUUAUUUAUGCUGACCUUACAUUCAAUGAUCCACCAAAGGGCCAAAAGAAGCUUGUAAUACAUGGACUGGACAGCAUGACAGAAUAUGUUCAAGUUGACUUCACAAAGAAAGCAGAUCCUUUACCAGAUAGUGAUGAUGAAAAUAAUUCACCAAAACACUCUACUUAAUGUGUCUAUUGCAGAUGUCUUCCAUUCAAGUCUUAACAAAUCAAUAUUUUUGAUAGACAUUUACAUGUUGAUUAAUAUUCAUUAUUUGUUUAAUUGUUUAUUGUUAUAAUUUGUAUUCAAUUCAAACUAAUAGUUGCUAAUGAUUUAAGAAAAUGAUAUAAAAGUUCAGCAUAAAUACUGAAUAUGGCGUUCUUGUAUUAGCAUUUUUUGCAUCAGUAAUUAAGAAUUGUUUUACAUAAUUACCCUAGAACUUAUUUGGAGUGAUGCAUGGGCGGUUACAUUCUUUGAAUGUGGCUUUUUUCUGUUGAACUUUUGUCAUUAUUUUUGUUUUAAUUAAAGUAAUUUUUAUUUAAUUCUUUUGAUCUGUUAAUUAUGUUUAUGCUUUUGUUACUUGAAUAUUUCAGUUUUAUACGCCUGUUUUAAACAAUGGACGUAUUAUGUUAUGGCAUGUCCGUCUGUCCAUCUGCCAUACAGAGUGUCUGGAGUAUGACUCAGUAUCAAUUCAAGAUAUUGACUUUUAACUUUGUAUAUUGGUAGAUGGCGAUUAGUAGAUAUGUAGAGCAUAUGAACCUGGUCAAAAGUCAUGGUCACAAGUGGAACUCAGAAGUUCAUAUUAGACCAUGUUUGUGUUGGGAGCAUAACUGAAUAAGUAUGAAAUCAAGUUAUUGACUUCAAUCUUAGCAUAUAGGUAGGUGGCAAUGAAACAAUGUGCAGAGCGCAUAAAUCAGGUAGGUAGGUCAAUGUUCCAGGUCACAACAAGGUCAGAUACGUCCGUCAAAUUUUAUGUCUAGAGCAUUAGUUGAUAACUCAUGGUAUUUACUUCAAACUUGACAUAUAGGUAGGUAGCGAUGAAAUGAGAGCAUGGUGUAUAAUUUUGGUCUCAAGGUCAAGGUUAAUUUUAAAUAUGUUCAGGGCACAACUUGAAAACUUUUCUAGAUACACCUGGAAUGUUCACCUUGAUGAUAUCUAGGUCAAGUUCAAAACUGGGUCACGUGCCAUCAAAAUCUAGGUCAUUAGGUCAAAUAAUAGAAAAACCUUGUGACCUCUCUAGAGGCCAUAUAUUUCAUGGGAUCUGUAUGAAAGUUGGUCUGAAUGUUCAUCUUGAUGAUAUCUAGGUGAAGUUUAAAACUGGGUCAGCUGCGGUCAAAAACCAGGUCAGUAGGUCUAAACAUAGAAAAAUCUUUUGUCCUCUGUAGAAGCCAUACUUUUCAAUGGGUCUUCAUGACAAUUGGUGAGAAUGUUCACCUUGAUGAUAUCUAGGUCAAGUUUGAAACUGGGUCACGUGUGAUUAAAAACUAGGUCAGUAGGUCUAAAAAUAGAAAAACUUUGUGACCUCUCUAGAGGCCAUAUUUUUCAUGAGAUCUUCAUGACAAUUGGUGAGAAUGUUCACCUUGAUGAUAUCUAGGUCAAGUUCAAAACUGGGUCAUGUACCUUAAAAACUAGGUCAGUAGGUCAAAUAAUAGAAAAACGUUGUUACCUCUCUAGAGGCCAUAUUUUUCAAUGGAUCUUCAUGAAAAUUGGUCAGAAUUUUUAUCUUGAUGAUAUCUAGGUCAAGUUCAAAACUUGGUCACAUGAGCUCAAAAACUAGGUCACUAUGUCAAAUAAUAAAAAAAGGACAUCAUACUCAGUUCAAAACUGGGUCAUGUGGGGACAGGUGAGCGAUUCAGGACCAUCAUGGUCCUCUUGUUUUUAUUUCUCUCUGCAGAUCCAGAGUUAUGUAUUAAGGGCACAUAUGUUUAUGUCCUGUGUAUUUCAUAAUGUACUUUGACUUGACCUAAAGUCGUAAAACAUGAGAAGAUUGUUAUAUAGCCUAUCAAAUAGAAAAAAAAAGAAACUCCAGAGGUUGCUCAACGAAAAAAAAACGAAAAUGUUGCAGGCUCGGUUUGAUUGAGCCUGUUCAUGGACGGUAGUGGAAAUGCAUGCUACCGUCCACGCCCUCUAGCCCCUGGUUGAGCAGAACUCAACAUUAACACAUGCUCCAAGUACAAAAAUCAAUUUAGAAACAUCUGCAGAUGUAUUCAUACGUUGGUGCACAUUGAACCUUCAAUGAUACACUAGGGUGUAAUUCCAUGCAAAGCCUGCAUAUCACAGGAAAGACAAAAUUAAAAAAGCAGGCACCAUAUCCAAGUACCCAAAGCUAUGAAAGCGGGAGUAUUGAAACCGCCGAGGCCGAAAUGUUCAAGCUGAUAAACUAAACCAUGCCAAUAACACGACAUAAAAGUCAUGCUGAACAAUCUGAGAAUAUCAAAUAUGAAGUUGUACACCCUGUGGUCUAUUUUGGAUUUCUCUCGGCUAGACCAGAGUUAUGGUCCUUGGCAUAGUGAAAAAUACACAAAGUGUUUAGAAGUUUGUCUUGCAUAUAACUUUCACAUAGUCAUGAAAUGUGUAGUUACAAUAAGUGGGGGCACCUGUGUCCUAUGAACACACAUCUAGAUAAUAAAAUUGAUGAGUUUUAGCUAAUUGACCUUAACAGUUUUGUUACAGUAAGAUCCCUAGGACCAUACUUUGGAUCACCACAGGGGAGCUAGACAUAGAGUUUCAGUUGUAAAUCUUUAUUAAAUUUUUUCGAAACUUCUCUUUCAAUGGAUUAUAUAUACUUUAUUAACUAUCACAACAGUCUUUAAGUGCCAAGUACAGGGGCAUCAUUAACAGCCACCGCACAGCACUGAAAGGCUGCGUUUUUAAUAUGUAAUAAACAUAUUUAAAGAUUCUUUUGAGGCAAAGAAUGCAUUUGAGCAAAGUAAAACUAAGCUUGGUUUGAUCUAAUGAAACAUGCACUACAAGACCCCGUAACACAUACUUCAAACAUGGAAUUCAUUCAUUGUGACAUAAACUACAUGAUCAAUUUUAUAAUUUGCAGUAUGGUCUUACAUGUCUGCCUGUGUCAGACAGGUUUUUCCCAACCCCCAGGGCAGCACAGACAGGAUAACCUGACUAGCAAUCAGUUUUACAUUUCCCGCUGCUCCUAAGGUUGUGAAGACCCUGUCUUACACAGGGAGGUAAUUAAGAUCCUUAUAAGCCCAAAGGACCAGGAAAUAAACAGAGUCUACAAUUAUUAUGCUUUGUAUGCUGAAUGAUCUUUUACAUUGAAAUAACCCUUAUUAUGCUGGACAUGAUUGGUUUUAUCUUUGCGACCAGUGUAGAUCAUGAUUAGCCUGCACAUACAUGCAGUCUGAUCAUGAUCUACACUGUUUACUAUUUAGCCAGUAUCUUUUUCGUAAGCACCCCUUAUAAUGGUAAUGUCCAAAUUGGAAGGGACAAGUUCAUUAUAGAAAUUUAGCAGUGUAAGGGUUAAUUAAGAUAAUGACCUUAAAAGGGCAAAGCUGUAUGUUAUGGGUUUUUUUUCAAAGAAACCAAGUGUUAAUUUGUUGAAAGUUCAAGCUAAAUCUACAGGUGUCUGUAUUUUGACAUGGAUUUACAUAUUUCAAACUUAGUUAAAAAAACAACUGCAAAGUUACAAGACUUUGAAGUAAGAUAUUUUACAAGCUGGUCGUCCUUUCUUGGACCAGUAUUUUGACUGCCACAGGGGUCCUUUUUCUACACAUGCAAGAAAUUUCUACAUGGUAUUGAUACCCAUGAAUAAAUUUUUAAGGUCCUUGUGAAUGAUUGCAACACUUGUUCUUGUCCAUUUGAAUAAAUUUUUAAUUCAAAACAUACAUAUUACCUUAGGUCUGUGUAGCAUUGCAUAUAUUCAAAGGUAAAGACUCCCAUGUGUGUCUUAGACCUCUUGUUGUGUGUUAAAAUGGAAGCGCUCUUACCAUUGCAUGAUAUGAUCGUAAGAGGUGACUAAUGGGGUCUUGACAUGUUUGAAUGUAUCUGUACAAGUUUUGAUGUAAAUUAGAUCUGAAACCAAAGUUUUAGUCCUGUUUGGCUCCUUGUAACCUGCUGUUUGUUGGUGUACUGUGAAACCAAAAUCAGCAAGAGUAAAGAGUGAAGGUCCGUUGAGUGCCUAGGAGUAAUUAUUGCCUUCUUGUUUUGAGUGUGCAAAUAUAUAUUUAGAUUUUAUGUGCUUAUUCUGAUACAUUUGUGUAUAUGUACAAUGAUUGAGAAAAUAUUUAAUUUUAAUUUAUGACAAUAUAACAUUCCUACAGUUGUGUUCAUGUCUGUUAUUGUAGUUGCAUAUGUUACAAAUGAUAUGUGUAUAUUUUUAGAUUUUUUGACUUGCAGAGUAUUAUUUUGAAAUGAAAUCUUUUUUUCAAACUGAUUUGAACCAAAGGUUCAGUGUGAGCUCUUAGAAUAGGCUGAUGAUCCGAUAUUCAUUCAUUACUAACACUCUAGAGGUUACGAUUUUGGCAUAAUCAGAAUAAAACCUUGACGAAAUGUUUAUCUCAACAAAAUUUCCUUUGGGUUAUCCAAAGUUAAAGUAAUACCACAAGAUCGAUGGCUGCACUGACUUCAGAUCAUUUGCCCCUCAUCGAUAUAGGUUUGAGCCUCACUUUGGGCAUUGAAUUCUUCAUGUGAGGGAGCUAUCCGGUUGGCUUACAGAAGGUUGUUGGUUCAACCCAGGUGCCAGCUCGUGAAGAAAUAAUGCACGGAGGGUCUUCCUCUACCAUCAAAGCUGGAAAGUCACCAUACGACAUAUGAUUGUGUUGGUGCGACGUUAAACCCAACAAAAUAAAAAGAUAUAUCACAAGGUCAGAUAAUAGAAAAAACCUUGUAAACAUUCUAGCCACCACAAUUUCAAUUUUAUUUGUCUAGGUCAAGUUCAAAACUAGGUUAUUUAGGCUCAGAAAAGAAAAUUAUAGGAAAAACAUUAUCAAUUUACAUGAAACUUAGGUCAAGUUCGAAAUAAUGUCAUCUUAGAUAAAAAAAAAUGAUGCACUAGAUCAAAAUGAACAACAUUUUUUAAGCUCUUCAGGUAUCUUUUUCCCCUUAUAUGACUUUGCAAGUUCAAAUCUGAGUCAUCUGGUCAUGGUCUUUCAUUACUUUUGAUCAGUGUUUUUUGUUUAAAUGCCAGACAGUUUUGUAGAAAUCACCCACUUUUGCCAUCUUGGAUAUAAAAGAUGUUCCAAACUUUACAAUCAGAAUGUUAUUAAUUCAAUGUAGCCGAGGAUUUCUUGGCAUUAUUAUGUCUCCCACCACACAGUGGUGUGGGAGACAUAUUGAUUUACUCCAGUCUGUGUGUCUGUCUGUCUGUCACAAAGCUUGUCCGCACUCUUAAGUCGAACAUUUCUUAUCCGAUCUUCACCAAACUUCAACAAAAUGUGUCUGCCAAUAAGUGCUCGGCCAAGUUCGAUAACUAGCCAAAUCGGCCUAGGGACUUCGGAAUUAUGGCCCUUGAAUUACCAAAAUCACUCAGAUUUCUUGCGUAGUUUUACCUCCAAACCGAGCUCUAUACUACUAGUAGUAUAGGGGUCCUUUUGGGGUCAAGAAAGUGCAAUGCACAUGUGGAUUCAGUAAACAGUAUAUAAAGACUGACUUAUUAUUUAGAUGAUUAGGCAGUUGUGGGAGACAUGCGCUUUUCUCAAAAGCAUCUCUAGUUUUUGGUGUAAAUGAGAUGUGGAACCAAAAUUUGUAGUCCUGUUUGGCGCCAUGCUGGUGCGCUGUAAAACCCAAAUAAAUAAAUUAUAAUACAUACAUAAUGCAAAAAACAAACUUUUUUUUUGUGGGGGUGUGGGGGGAGAUGGGACUUAUGAUGGGAUCUACUUUCCAGAUUUUAUCUAUUUUUCUUCUGGUAAUAUUUUGACCUCAUACUUCCAUUAAUUCUUCGAAUAGCCGAGCACGCUGUCAACAGACAGCUCUUGUUGAAAAGAAGUAUGGUUUGACCUUGAAAUUGACCUGGACUUUGAACCAUCAAACACCAAUUAUGACAAUGUUUUAAAUUGACUAAACUGUUGAAUUAUUUAAAAAAAAAAAAUUUUAAUUAAUUUUUGUCACACCUGGCAAAAAUGAUGGCUAUCUUGGAUUUCUCAUCAAUUUGUUGGGGUUUUUUUUGCAAGAAUGAUAAAUUUGCCAGAUAUUUAUAACAUCAUUUGGUAUACUGGUACUUUGAUGACCAAAUAGCCCUUGAAAUAAGCUCUUCUUUGGCUGUAAUAUAGGGAUAUUGUAAUGCAGUCCCAGUGUUUAGGCAUUGUACCUAUUUUAAAGAAUGUUAAAAAAUUGAAUUAAGUAUAUACUGUUAUAUAUGAUCAAUGGCAUGAUAUAACAACUUUUGUUUCUGUCAUCAGUAAUGGAAUAAUGUUCAAAAGAUGAUGGUUACUUAAGACAGUACUAGAUAUCUCCCUUAUCAAUUUGCAUAUACAGUGUCAGAAUUCACCCAAACUGUUUCAUGUAGCAAACAAAAAACAUGUAUGUUCUUAGAUAUUUAUUCAGUUCUCUUUUUAUGAUAUAUAAUGGAUUAAAGAUAUAUAUGUAAUUAAUAAAAAUAUUUGGUAUUUUAUAAAAAAAUUAAAAUGAGGUCUUUAUGAUAGUAAUUAUGAUGUGACAACUUAACGUUAUGAUAUCUGUAAGACAUACUCUAUGUAAGUUAUAAUACAUAUAUACAAGUAAUCUUAUGUCUUUGACAUAGUAUCUCAUAAUUUGCGAGUUUCAAUGUCAAAAGGGAACAUUUUGUCAAAUUUUUAAAAAUGUUCAUAUAUUGUUUCAAUAAAUAAUAACUGUGGUCGUCAUUUCCGGAUUGAAAGUUAGGGACCAAGAGGGUAAAACAUAAAAUGGUAUGACAUGAGGUAUCUGUAUACAUAGUUUUGUCUGCAUGAUGGACAUUUUCAUGUGAUAUAGCACAUAACUAUCAGUUAUAUAAAAUCAGUACACAUAUAUGGAAAAGCAACUUAAACAAAAACAGUUGCCAGAUAUAUGUCGCUACUUAAACAAAAAAACAGUGUGUUAAGUUCAUCAAAAUAAGCCAAACAAUUUCUACGAAAAGGCAAUUUCAGAGUAACGGUGAAAAUGUAAAAUUGAAAUUCAAGAAGUACAAGAGGGCAAAGAUUGCCUUAUACUGCUACUUUAAUGUUUGAAUAAUGCAAGUCAAAUCCAAAUACAAAUUUUUUGGAGAAUUUUAUGUAAGUUUUAUGAAUGAUGCUAAAGACCACGCUAAUGUGAUAAAAAUCUGAAAUACAAACUUUUGACUUGUACAGUCGUGACAUCACUGGGGUGUUACUAAAGUAAUCGUGCCCACUAUUAAAGUUGACAGGGAACUAAAAUGGAAAUUAACAUGCCAAGUUUCGUAACUUGAACUUGAAAAAAAUCUUCUUGUCUGAAACCACAAGACCUAGGCCUUUGAUGUUUGGUAUGUAGCAGUGCCUUGUGGUUUUCUACCAAGAUUGUUCAAAUUAUGCCCCUUGGGUGAAAAGAGGUCCCCGGGAGUCCCAAAUUUUACAUAGACUUAUAUAGGAAAAAAAAUCUUCUUGUGUGAAACUGCAAGGCCUAGGCUUUUCAUUUUUGGUAUGUUGCAUUGCCUAGUGGUCCUUUACCAAGAUUGUUCAAAUUAUGUCUCUUGGGUAAAGAGGCCCUUACAUAGACUUAUGUAAGAACAAAAUUUUAAAAAUCUUCUUGACUGAAAGUUCAAGGCCUAGGCUUUUGAUAUACAGUAUGUAGCAUUGCCUAGUGGCUCUCUAACAAGAUUGUUCAAAUUAUGCCCCUGGGGUGAAAAGAGGCCCCGCCCUGAGGGUCACAUAGUUUUUAUACGAGUUUUAUAGGAAAAAAUACUUCAAAAAUAUCUGAUCAUAUUUCCUAGACUGUUUAAUUAUAAUUAAAACUGACUUUUAGUGACCAUGAUUGUGACCUACUGACCUACCCUCUUGUUUUUAGCUCACCUGAAUAUGGGUCAUGUAGGGACAAAAACCAGGUCACCCGGUCAUAUUAAAGAAAAACUUUGUAUGCGAUAGAGGCUGCAUUUUAUACUGAAUAUUCAUAAAAUUUAGUCAAAAUGAUUACCUUGAUGAUAUCUAGGUCAAGCUAGAAUAUGGGUCAUCUGUGGUCAAAAACUAGGUCACUGAGUCAAAUCAAAGAAAAACCUCAUGUAUGCGAUACAGACUGUGUUUUUCAAUUGAUCUUCAUGAAAUUUGGCCAGAAUGAUAGCCUUGGUGAAAUUAAGGUCAAGUUUGAAUAUGGGUCAUCUGGGGUCAAAAACUAGGUUGUUGGGGGAAAAAAACAAAAAAACGUUUCGUAUGUGAUAGAGGCUGUAUUUUUCAGUUGUGGUUCAUGAAAUUUGGUAAGAAUGAUUUCCUUGAUCAAAUCUAGGUCAAAUUUGAAAGUAGGUCAUCUUCGCUCAAAAACUAGGUCACUAGGUCAAAUUGAAGUUAGUACUUGUUUACACUUGAGACCACAUUUUUGGUACAAUCUUAAUGAAAAUUGGUCAGAAUAUUUGCUUCCAUGAAAUCACUAAGUCAACCAUGUUUACAUUGUUAUGGUGUGAUCUCAGGUGAGCGACCUAUGGCCAUCUUUGCCCUUUUGUUUAAGAUACAGCCUUAAAAUUUGGAUGACAUGUACAGUUGUGCACACCGAUCUUAAAACUGAUUUUCAGUGACCUUGAAUGUGACCUACUGACCUACCUUCUUGUUUUUGUGCCCCCCCCACCCCGAGUGGUGGGGGCAUAUAGAUUUGGUCUUAUCCGUCCGUCCGUCUGUCCAUCCGUCCGUCCGAAGUUCGUGACGCGCCUAGCUUGAAAAGUAUUUGAUAUAAAUUGAUGAAACCUUGCAUGAGUCUUUAUCAUGAUAUGAACUUGCGCAUCUCCUAUUUUUCGUCUGGCUCCACCCCCUAUUGUCAGAGUUAUGGCCCCUGAAAUAGUCAAAAAUGCACAUUUUCACCUUGUGACACGCCUAGCUCAAAAAAGUAUUUGAUAUAGAUUCAUGAAACCUUGCAUGAGUCUUAAUCAUGAUAUGAACUUGCGCACCUCCUAUUUUUCAUCUGGCUCCGCCCUCUAUUUUCAGAGUUAUGGCCCCUGAAAUAGUCAAAAAUGCACAUUUUCACCUUGUGACAUGUCUAGCUCAAAAAGUAUUUGAUAUACAUUCAUGAAACCUUGCACGAGUCUUAAUCAUGAUAUGAACUUGCGCACCUCCUAUUUUUUAUCUGGCUCCACCCCCUAUUUUCAGAGUUAUGGCCCCUGAAAUAGUCAAAAAUACACAUUUUCACCUUGUGACACACCUAGCUCAAAAAGUAUUUGAUAUAGAUUCAUGAAACCUUGCACGAGUCUUAAUCAUGAUAUGAACUUGUGCACCUCCUAUUUUUCAUUUGGGUCUGCCCCCAAUUUUCAGAGUUAUGGCCCCUGAAGUACUGUAGUCAAAAAUGCACAUUUUCACCUUCUGACAUGCCUAGCUCAAAAAGUAUUUGAUGUAGAUUCAUGAAACCUUGCAUGAGUCUUAAUCAUGAUAUGAACUUGUGCACCUCCUAUUUUUGAUUUGGGUCCGCCCCCUAUUUUCAGAGUUAUGGCCCCUGAUGUACAUUUUCACCUUGUGACACACCUAGCUCAAAAAGUAUUUAAUAUAAAUGGUUGAAAACUCGCAUAAGUCUUUAUCAUGAUAUAAACUUGCACACCUCUAAUUUUUUGGCUGGCUCCACCCCUUAUUUUUAAAGUUAUGGCCCCUGAAAUAGUAAAAAAAGGCACUUUUUCACCUAAUUAUAUACCUAGCUCAAAAAGUAUUUGAUGUAAAUUCAGGAAACCUUGCUGGAGUCUUUAUCGUGAUGUGACCUUGCACACUUGGCAUUCUUCUUGAGAAUCUUCGCUCUUAUUACAGAGUUAUGGCCCUUGAAAUAGCCAAAAUAGUGGAUUUUUUGUUUGUGAUGCUCAUAGCUCAAAAAGUAUAGGGCGUAGAAUAAUGAAUCCUUUUCAUAAAAUGUUUGUUUAGGCUAUACCCCAUUACGCCUGCAAACAUUUGAAUUAUUGCCACUUAUUUGUGACAAAUGUACCAGUGGGGGGCACACCCUGUGUCCUACAGACACAUUCUAGUUUAAGAUACAGCUUUGAAAUUUGAAUGACAUAGUUUUGCAUGCCGAUCUUUAAACAGACUUUCAGUGACCAUCAGUGUAACCUACUGACCUACUUUCUUGUUUUCUAAGCUACAGCAAAAGGAUUUGGACCACCUGUAAUAUUUUUUUUGCAAAUUUCAAAAGUAAUCUUGCAUAAUCUUUACCUUGACCCACUCUCCUAAUUUUCUUGUUUUUAAAGCUUUAGCUAAGAAAUUUUUCAAGCUAACAGCUCUACUCAGGUGAGCGAUAUAGAGACAUCAUGACCCUCUUGUUGAUUUCUCUUCCCCCCCCCCCCCCCCCCCCCCCACCAACCCCGAAAAAAAAAAAGGAACCAAAAAUGUACGAACUGCUGAAGGGUACCAUGGUUUUCAUAUUUGUGGUGGUUUUCCAAGGUGAAGUAACUCUCGUGGCCAAUUAUUCCGAUGCUAACUCGUUACUGGACCCAUACAAUGACUUUAUUUUGGGCAGUCUAGAUCUUAAAGCGCUGAAUGAUCGUGGCGAAACCGGCUGUAUACAAGCGUUCGUUGGUUGAUCUAAAGUUGGGUCAUCACAAACGCAGGUACAUCCAGCUACUAAAUAAAAUGUUGAUAACAUGUAAUAUGAGAGUAAAAAAAUAGGUCUACAAGUUUGUUUUUCCUUUAUUCUGUUUUUGCUGUUUGUCUUGACUUAUACUCAGGGGUUCGAUUUAUAUAUAAAUAGCUGUCAUUUUGAAUAUAAAAGGCUUGAUUAUGUGAGUUUAAACUGAAUAUAUCUCGUGUUGAUAAAAAGGACCCUUCAGCUGAAAUCCUAGGAGUCUGUAUGUACACUUUUGUUAAUUUUCAAGAGUCAAAAUCCCUACUCUCGGGUCAAAUGGAACCCCUGCGUACAGUUGUUUUAAAGAUAAAA